AUUUUUAUAGUGUAUAGAACACUUAACAUUUUCAUUGUUAAAAAGCUCUUUAGCUAAAAAUA
rnacentral:tRNA from 2 species